rnacentral:rRNA from 1 species
AUCUAUCCUAUACUGGGGGAUAGCCCGAUGAAAGUUGGAUUAAUACCGCAUAUAGCUAUAUAGUUGCAUGAUUAUGUAGUGAAAGAUUUAUUGGUAUAGGAGGAGUCUGCGGCACAUUAGCUAGUAGGUGAGGUAAAGGCUUACCUAGGCGACGAUGUGUAGCCGGUCUGAGAGGAUGAACGGCCACAAUGGAACUGAGACACGGUCCAUACUCCUACGGGAGGCAGCAGUGGGGAAUAUUGCACAAUGGGGGAAACCCUGAUGCAGCAACGCCGCGUGAGUGAAGAAGGUUUUCGGAUUGUAAAGCUCUGUUAGCAGGGAAGAGGAAGGACGGUACCUGCAGAGGAAGCCACGGCUAACUACGUGCCAGCAGCCGCGGUAAUACGUAGGUGGCAAGCGUUGUUCGGAAUAACUGGGCGUAAAGGAUGCGUAGGCGGUUAAACAAGUUAUAUGUUAAAUAUAUAGGCUUAACCUGUAGAAAGCAUAUAAAACUGUUUAACUAGAGUGCAGGAGAGGUAAGUGGAAUUCCU